rnacentral:rRNA from 1 species
GGUCCAGACUCCUACGGGAGGCAGCAGUGGGGAAUAUUGCACAAUGGGCGCAAGCCUGAUGCAGCCAUGCCGCGUGUAUGAAGAAGGCCUUCGGGUUGUAAAGUACUUUCAGUCGUGAGGAAGGCGGCGUCGUUAAUAGCGGCGUUGUUUGACGUUAGCGACAGAAGAAGCACCGGCUAACUCCGUGCCAGCAGCCGCGGUAAUACGGAGGGUGCGAGCGUUAA